rnacentral:rRNA from 1 species
GAUGAACGCUGGCGGCGUGCCUAAUACAUGCAAGUCGAGCGAACGGACGAGAAGCUUGCUUCUCUGAUGUUAGCGGCGGACGGGUGAGUAACACGUGGAUAACCUACCUAUAAGACUGGGAUAACUUCGGGAAACCGGAGCUAAUACCGGAUAAUAUUUUGAACCGCAUGGUUCAAAAGUGAAAGACGGUCUUGCUGUCACUUAUAGAUGGAUCCGCGCUGCAUUAGCUAGUUGGUAAGGUAACGGCUUACCAAGGCAACGAUGCAUAGCCGACCUGAGAGGGUGAUCGGCCACACUGGAACUGAGACACGGUCCAGACUCCUACGGGAGGCAGCAAUAGGGAAUCUUCCGCAAUGGGCGAAAGCCUGACGGAGCAACGCCGCGUGAGUGAUGAAGGUCUUCGGAUCGUAAAACUCUGUUAUUAGGGAAGAACAUAUGUGUAAGUAACUGUGCACAUCUUGACGGUACCUAAUCAGAAAGCCACGGCUAACUACGUGCCAGCAGCCGCGGUAAUACGUANGUGGCAAGCGUUAUCCGGAAUUANUUGGGCGUAAGCGCGCGUAGCGGUUUUUUAGUCUGAUGUGAAAGCCCACGGCUCAACCGUGGAGGGUCAUUGGAAACUGGAAAACUUGAGUGCAGAAGAGGAAAGUGGAAUUCCAUGUGUAGCGGUGAAAUGCGCAGAGAUAUGGAGGAACACCAGUGGCGAAGGCGACUUUCUGGUCUGUAACUGACGCUGAUGUGCGAAAGCGUGGGGAUCAAACAGGAUUAGAUACCCUGGUAGUCCACGCCGUAAACGAUGAGUGCUAAGUGUUAGGGGGUUUCCGCCCCUUAGUGCUGCAGCUAACGCAUUAAGCACUCCGCCUGGGGAGUACGACCGCAAGGUUGAAACUCAAAGGAAUUGACGGGGACCCGCACAAGCGGUGGAGCAUGUGGUUUAAUUCGAAGCAACGCGAAGAACCUUACCAAAUCUUGACAUCCUUUGACAACUCUAGAGAUAGAGCCUUCCCCUUCGGGGGACAAAGUGACAGGUGGUGCAUGGUUGUCGUCAGCUCGUGUCGUGAGAUGUUGGGUUAAGUCCCGCAACGAGCGCAACCUUUAAGCUUAGUUGCCAUCAUUAAGUUGGGCACUCUAAGUUGACUGCCGGUGACAAACCGGAGGAAGGUGGGGAUGACGUCAAAUCAUCAUGCCCCUUAUGAUUUGGGCUACACACGUGCUACAAUGGACAAUACAAAGGGCAGCGAAACCGCGAGGUCAAGCAAAUCCCAUAAAGUUGUUCUCAGUUCGGAUUGUAGUCUGCAACUCGACUACAUGAAGCUGGAAUCGCUAGUAAUCGUAGAUCAGCAUGCUACGGUGAAUACGUUCCCGGGUCU